rnacentral:lncRNA from 1 species
UUGGACAAUGCCUUCCCUUUAUUUGUUGUUGGUGGUUUGACUGUCCUGCUUGCCUUGGACUUUUGUGAGGUGUUUCCUUAAUGAGAGGUUCUUUUGGACGAUCGCAACUUAAGCCUGUCACUAUGGCAAACUCUUUCACGCCAAAAUAAACUGGCAUGCCACAGUAGUUGAUCCAGAUUUCAUCCAUCUUUUUUCCCCCUCCGUAGAAUCUUUAUGAUCCCCCAUGUACUUGAUCCUGUGC